GCGCCCGUGGCGGAAUUGGCAGACGCGCUGGAUUUAGGUUCCAGUGUCUUAGGACGUGGGAGUUCGAUUCUCCCCGGGCGCACAA
rnacentral:tRNA from 1 species